AAAGCCUAAAUACCAGGAGAACAAAUUCUACAUCUGUGCACAAGAAGUUUUUGGUGACACACGUGUCUACUGUAAAGCAUUGCUAGAACUAAUUCCCUACCCUUGUAUUUUUAAUAUGGAAACCAAAGUUAAGAUUUUUACGAUAAUCUGUCAGCUGAGUAUUUCUAAUGAGAAUAUCACUGAUUACGGUAUAAUAUUGGGCAAUAUUAACAGCACUAAUGCAUCUGCUGGGAUUAUCAAUGUACCUGCUGGUUUAGAAAUGGAUGCAUGUACUGAAAACAUUGUUGCUUCUGCUGGAGAUACUGUUACAUCCACUGGGAUCGUUGAGGCUUCUGCUGGAGAUACUGAUACAUCUACUGGGAUCGUUGAGGCUUCUGCUGGAGAUACUGAUUCAUCUACUGGGAUCAUUGAGGCUUCUGCUGGAGAUACUGAUACAUCUACUGGGAUCAUUGAAGCAUCAGCUGAAGAUACCGAUACAUCUACUGGGAUCAUUAAGGCUUCUGCUGGAGAUACUGAU